rnacentral:rRNA from 1 species
UAGGGAAUCUUCGGCAAUGGACGAAAGUCUGACCGAGCAACGCCGCGUGAGUGAAGAAGGUUUUCGGAUCGUAAAACUCUGUUGUUAGAGAAGAACAAGGACGUUAGUAACUGAACGUCCCCUGACGGUAUCUAACCAGAAAGCCACGGCUAACUACGUGCCAGCAGCCGCGGUAAUACGUAGGUGGCAAGCGUUGUCCGGAUUUAUUGGGCGUAAAGCGAGCGCAGGCGGUUUCUUAAGUCUGAUGUGAAAGCCCCCGGCUCAACCGGGGAGGGUCAUUGGAAACUGGAAGACUUGAGUGCAGAAGAGGAGAGUGGAAUUCCAUGUGUAGCGGUGAAAUGCGUAGAUAUAUGGAGGAACACCAGUGGCGAAGGCGGCCCCCUGGACGAAGACUGACGCUCAGGUGCGAAAGCGUGGGGAGCAAACAGG